UCCCAUCCCCCGGCCCGUCCUGCUCAGGAAACGCGCAGAGAAAGCCAGGAACCAAGCCUGCCAGGCCCGGGCCCCUCCGCGCCUUCCCUCCUCCCCGUCCUUCGGCUGCAGGAAGCCGGCUGGGGGGAACGCCCUGCCCGGUGGGUGGGAAAGGCGGGGAGCAGGCCCGGGCCCUGGGCUUCCCAGGCCGCCCGGGCGGGCGGGCGACGCGGAGCUGUCACUUCGGCAGCUGCAGCGCCCUCCCCGCCGCACCGGCUCCUUAGCGUUGCGCGGGGAGGCUGCGUGCGUCCCGCGGGCUCCGACUCCGGCUCCUCACACAGAGCCGCAGUGCAGCUAGGGCUGGGGAGGGAGGCGAGGGGCGUCCAGCGCUCUCUUUGGGGAGGAGAGAUGCUGAGGACUCAGGGUUUGUAGGCCAGCUCUGGAAACGCCCAGUGUUUUGCUGCAGCUCUCCUGGAGGACUGUGGAGAUGCCAAGGGCAGUUUCACUCAGAUCCAUCUCUCCAUAAAGAACGUGAGAAGAGAAACGCAUGAGGCAGAACCGGGUCAGCUGUGCCGCAAACAGCUUACAGGGAGAACUCGCAGCUGUCCCCAACCUGGAGGGGUGCCGCUUGUCAGAGAUGUUCUGGGGCCUCAGAUGUGACUGCAGAAUCCACCUGGGAUAUGCUGGCUCCUGUUCCAAUGGCAGUGCUUUGCAAGGCCACUAUCAGCAAGCUCCUCCUAUCCCAGACCUUUGAAAAUCCUCCAUCAUGAAAUGAUUGGGUAGAUUAUCACAGGGGUGUGUGUGGUAUCAGGACAGGAAAUAUUGACGAUAGUAAAUACUGAGAUUUUCUUUUUUUUUUUUGUCUUUUUGAGACAGGGUCUCUCUAUGCAGUUCUCUUGUGCCUCAACCUCCCGAGUGCUGGGAUUACAGGUGUGUGCCACCGUGCCCGGCAGUAAAUAUUGAAAAUAGGAAUAGCCACCGUAUCAUUUGUGGAAUACUGUACUUUUCACACAGUAGCACAUGUAAUUUUAAAACACACACUACAAAGACUGUACUAUCAGCCCCAUUUUACAGACAGGAGACUGAGGUUCAGAGAGCUCCUGGAGUCAGAAGAAGGGUAUAUGACCCCAGAGUUUUCUGACAUCAGUACUUGAGCUCUACAAACAUGUGUGGCUUCUCAUCGCCAGAAAGAGCUAAGAAACAAACUGAACAAAUCCAUUUGAUAGAAGUUGUAAUGUGUCCAUGCCCACAGGAGGGUUCAGCUCAACGUCCCUGGGUAUUCAGAGCAAGGAGGAGUGGCUUCUGGCCAGGGGCGGCUAGGAGGGCUUGUGUGAUGAGAUGACAACAGGAAAGAGCAUGAGCAAAGGGCAGAUGUGGGAAAGCAGUGGGUGUGCUACGGGGAGUUUGUGUAAAUGAGAGAGAGAGAGAGAGAGAGAGAGAAUGAGAGUGUGAAAAGGUAUGUAUGUGUGUAUGUGAUCAUGUCAGGCCAGGGCUUUGGCCUUUAUUCCACUGGCAAUAAAGAGCUUACACAAGA